CUACAUCAUAUCUGCUAUCUUGGGUGCUGGCGGUGGCGGGCUCUUCCCCCUUCAUCGCCCAAGACCCUGCGCUAGAUGUCUGUAUUGCUGCCCCCUAAAUGUGGCUCAGAAGUCGAGCGACCUCGACAAAGGCCUCUCGGUGUCCAUGUCCCCCUCCGACUCGAGCGAAGAAGUCGUGCAUCUCCUCACCGACCUCAAAAUCGAGUUCACAUCUCCUCCCUCCGAUGGUGGGUCGCCAGUAUGGAAGCUCGACAGCUCUGAGCCCAACGGCCAACGAUAUGUGACACUAAACGGGUCUCCGCAUAACGAAAUCAACCACGAUAACAUGUUCAAAAUUGAGAAAGCAGGUGCUUUGGGCUACAAACUGCUAUACUGCCCCAGUGUAGCCGGCGUCCCUGCCGAUGGUCCUUGCGGUAGUCUGGGUAUAUACUUCGAGGAUGGGAACAGGUGGUUGGUUCUCAGCGACCAGCCGUUCUUGGUUGUCUUUGUUAAGGCGUAAACCCUCACGGAUAUCCCUAUUACGUACCUGGACUCUCAUGAAAUAAGGGCCUUAUGUCCGAGUGUCUGCUAUGUGUAAGGGCUUUUUAAGUCCGAGUGUUUGUUAUGUGUAUCAGUGCGUGGGGUGUCUUGAAAUAAGAGCUUUAUGUCCGUCUGUCCUUUUUAUGUGAAUCAGUGUAUGUGGAGA
rnacentral:misc_RNA from 1 species